rnacentral:rRNA from 1 species
UACAGGGGGCUCGAGCGUUAAUCGGAAUCACUGGGCUUAAAGGGUGCGUAGGUGGCUUGCCAAGCGUCCUGUGAAAUCCCACGGCUCAACCGUGGAACCGCAGGGCGAACUGGUAGGCUUGAGGCAUGUAGGGGCAGACAGAACAGUCGGUGGAGCGGUGAAGUGCGUAGAUAUCGACUGGAAUGCCGAUGGGGAAGCCGGUCUGCUGGGCAUGUCCCGACACUGAGGCACGAAAGCGUGGGGAUCAAACAGG